rnacentral:rRNA from 1 species
CAAGGGAUUUUGGGCAAUGGGCGAAAGCCUGACCCAGCGACGCCGCGUGGGGGACGAAGGCCCUCGGGUUGUAAACCCCUUUUCUCAGGGAAGAAUACUGACGGUACCUGAGGAAUAAGCCUCGGCUAACUACGUGCCAGCAGCCGCGGUAAUACGUAGGAGGCAAGCGUUAUCCGGAUUUACUGGGCGUAAAGCGCGCGUAGGCGGCUUUGCAAGUCGAAUGUAAAAUCUCCCGGCUCAACUGGGAGGGACCAUUCGAAACUGCUAGGCUAGAGGGCAGUAGAAGGAGGCGGAAUUCCCGGUGUAGUAGUGAAAUGCGUAGAUAUCGGGAGGAACACCAGUGGCGAAGGCGGCCUCCUAGGCUGUUCCUGACGCUAAGGCGCAAAAGCGUGGGGAGCGAACAGG